GGUCAGUGGCGGCAGCUACACAUGCAGUCGAGCGGAUGAGUGGAGCUUGCUCCAUGAUUCAGCGGCGGACGGGUGAGUAAUGCCUAGGAAUCUGCCUGGUAGUGGGGGACAACGUUUCGAAAGGAACGCUAAUACCGCAUACGUCCUACGGGAGAAAGCAGGGGACCUUCGGGCCUUGCGCUAUCAGAUGAGCCUAGGUCGGAUUAGCUAGUAGGUGAGGUAAAGGCUCACCUAGGCGACGAUCCGUAACUGGUCUGAGAGGAUGAUCAGUCACACUGGAACUGAGACACGGUCCAGACUCCUACGGGAGGCAGCAGUGGGGAAUAUUGGACAAUGGGCGAAAGCCUGAUCCAGCCAUGCCGCGUGUGUGAAGAAGGUCUUCGGAUUGUAAAGCACUUUAAGUUGGGAGGAAGGGCAGUAAGUUAAUACCUUGCUGUUUUGACGUUACCAACAGAAUAAGCACCGGCUAACUUCGUGCCAGCAGCCGCGGUAAUACGAAGGGUGCAAGCGUUAAUCGGAAUUACUGGGCGUAAAGCGCGCGUAGGUGGUUCAGCAAGUUGGAGGUGAAAUCCCCGGGCUCAACCUGGGAACUGCCUCCAAAACUACUGAGCUAGAGUACGGUAGAGGGUAGUGGAAUUUC
rnacentral:rRNA from 1 species